CAAUUUGUCGAUUUUGAAUCACUUCACGCUUAACAUUCAAUCAGUUCAACAUGUCAACGACUGGUGAAACUACGGCUGCUACAGCGCCAAGAAAAAAGCGAUACAAAUUUCAAACGAAUGCGCAAAAAGAAAAGGAUGCUGAUGAUGAUGUAAACGAUAAUGGAUUGUUCGCGAUUAAAAUGCGCCUCAACACAAUUUUACGACCAGAGUUCAAUCACAUUGUCAAACCGUGGAUCGAACAGAAAAGCAUAAUGUCAACGAAAAUCACCGUUUUGGCAUCAUUACUUUUCUUGGAUAAAGUGAAAUCGGCACAAAUGAAUCGACAGUGGGAGUUUUUUAAAAACCGAACGUAUCCGGCCAAAAAAGGAAAGAAGAAAGGACAGCUCGUUGAAAAGAAUCGUGGCGAAGAAGUGAUUGAGCAAUGUUUCUAUGCCGUCUUGCAAAAAAACAAAGAGGGUGAGAAUAUGGAGCCACAUUUCCGUCAGUUUGUCGAAGAGCUCAGUCCAGAAAAUAAUUUCGCCUGGCCCAAGAACGAUUAUUUUGGUAAUCAUUUUAAAACGCUUUGCCAAAAUCACACGCGAUGCUUGAAAACCGGUCAAAAGACACACUGCAAGAAGAAGUUGAAAAAUUAUCUGCGAAUGCGAGCGUGGCAAUUCAACGCAGUGUCUACCGGUUGGAAAUUCGACAAGAAGGACAUUGACAAUGCAGUCGAUUUGAUGAUUCGAGGCUACAAUGCGAUCCGUGACACUCAUCAAAAUGCAGAUUUCAAACGACACAAGCGAACAUUACUUACUGGCAUGGUUACUGCAAUUGUGCGAGAAGUUGGUGGCCCAACCAAUGAUCACAACAUCAAGGAUUUUUCAAAAGGCGAUUAUUGGUUCAAAGCAACUGCAAUGUGGCUCGUUAUGCAGACAGAAAUCGAUGAGUGGCACAAUUGGGCGCAAGAUAACAAUGUGAAGAUACCAAAUAUCAAAAAUCUCUCGGUUGUUCCAUUGCCUGAUUAUCAACGAAAGGCAGUGUUCAUGUGCAAUGAUGUCUUCUAUCGAAUGCUGGCCGAAUCGAAACAACUUCCACAAGUUGAUGGUAGACAAGCAACCGAAAGUUACAUUCGCCAGAACAAAGAAUUCUAUUGGAAUCAAGUAUUCGAUUUAACGACCAUCAAUCGAAAACUGAAGAAAAACAAAGAAUUCCAUUAUACCAUCGUCAGCAACGGUGAAUCUGUGUCGAUUAUGUAUCGCAUGUCAAAGCAAUACGAGCAACAGAUGCAGAAUGAUGAUAUUCUUCGAAAGCAAUUCAUGGGCGGAAAAUUUGCUUACGAACUGGGAAUCGAUCCAGGCAUGAAAACAUGGAAUGCCACAGUUCGUCGAAAUAUCGAAACAAAGAAAGAAGUCAACUUGAAAACGUCCAGUAAGAAGUACCAUUGGCUGGCAAAGCAGAAGACGCGCGAUGUAAAGGCAAAACGAUGGACGAAGCAGUUCACCCAAGAGGAGCAGGACGAUCGAAAUAAUCGACAAUUGUAUCAGCGAAUGCCAUCACCACUGGGCAUACUCUGGAUUGAUUACGUUCAUCAUCGUAUCAAAAUGCUCAAGAAAGGAAUGGCCGUGUAUACAACACCGAAAUACACGCUGUUGCAGUUUGACAAGUACGUCGAAUCGAAUCGAACCGUUGAUAAACUCACUGGGAAUUUGGUCAAUCAUAAAGCCGCAAUUAUUCACAUGGGAAAUGCAGAAAUAUCACCAAACUCGUGCAUUCGAAUCAAAAAGCAUGUGAGAGCUCCAGGUACGCGCAAACUACUCAAAGGCUUUCGAAAACGUCGCAAUUGUCGUGUGCGCAAAACAGAUGAGUGGGGUACAUCGCAGCAUUGUGCAAAGUGUGGGCGACGAUUUGAUCCAGCCACAAGGAGCCAUCGAUUCAAAGUGUGUGAAAAUUGUGGAGCGGAGCCCGAUUCAAUUUUCGCCGAAUAUUUACCAUCAAAAAUCGUAGCACAGCGCAGCAAACGGCAAUUGAGGUACAACAAAGAUGUCGUUGAACUUUAUUUGAUGCGAUUUUGGGCAGAAGGACUCAUGACUGAGCAAGAAUUCGAGUGAGUGGUAAAUUGGAAUAUGCUCAAGUCAAUGCUGAUGCACCGUAUGCAACUGUUCAACAGCCAUAUGCAGUCGAUGAUGAAAAUGAAUUGGAAAUCGAAGACAAGCAACUACUAAUGGCUGUACACAAGACAUCUUGGGAUCGUGAUAUCGUCGCCGCCAAAUGCAUUCUCAUCAAAGGACAUUGUGAGCUGUUUGGAUGGGAUAUUCCGGCAGGAUUAGACAGACGAUCACCGCGACAGCCAGCAGUUCAACCGAAUCAGCAGCCUUAAGCGUCACCAAUCACCAUUCGUACUCGAAAAUUAAUCAAAAAUUAAUAUUGUAAUUUGUUACAUUAACUGAGACUGACUGUUGUGUCUCAGCAUUUCGAGGAAGUACUUCUAGGUGUUUUUUUCUAUAUGGGAAACACCCUAAUGUACACUUCAGUGAAUAUCUUUAAUUAAUAUUGUUUUUUUUGCGUUUAUUUUUCAUUCAUUCUGAAUCAAAGCCAAU